rnacentral:rRNA from 1 species
UACGUAGGGGGCAAGCGUUAUCCGGAUUUACUGGGUGUAAAGGGAGCGUAGACGGCACGGCAAGCCAGAUGUGAAAGCCCGGGGCUCAACCCCGGGACUGCAUUUGGAACUGCUGAGCUAGAGUGUCGGAGAGGCAAGUGGAAUUCCUAGUGUAGCGGUGAAAUGCGUAGAUAUUAGGAGGAACACCAGUGGCGAAGGCGUCUUGCUGGACGAUGACUGACGUUGAGGCUCGAAAGCGUGGGGAGCAAACAGG